UACGUAGGGUGCAGGCGUUAAUCGGAAUUACUGGGCGUAAAGCGUGCGCAGGCGGUUUCUUAAGUCAGAUGUGAAAGCCCCGGGCUUAACCUGGGAACUGCGUUUGAAACUGGGAGACUUGAGUGUGGCAGAGGGGGGUGGAAUUCCGGCGUGUAGCAGUGAAAUGCGCAGAUAAUCAGGAGGAACACCGGUGGCGAAGGCGGGUCUCUGGGCCGAUGACUGACGCUGGAGGAGCGAAAGCAUGGGGAGCGAACAGGA
rnacentral:rRNA from 1 species